AAGGCUUAAUUCAAUGUUAUUUCUAAAGGCUUGGAUUCCGACUAUAUACCAAAAUUACUAAUUUACCACAUAAAAGCCCAACUUUUAAAGCCCAAAUAAAUACGUAGAAAAGAGUCCAGAAUUUCAAACGGCCUCGUUUAAGGACCCGACUCGUUUGAGACCCGGUUACCCGUUUAUGAAAAUAAAUUACAACCGUCGAUUUCAGUCGUCGCCAAAGGAGUAGCCAUCACUACGCGCCACCGCCCAGCGCCGGUCCUCUCCAUCUCUUCCGCCUGUAUCGCCGUGACUGCAUCCUACACCACCAUCCGUACGCCACUGAUUUCUUCUGAUCAUUCUCUCACUCCUCAAAGCAUUUUCCUGCGGUGCAUUUUCAGAUUCAAGAUUAGGUUAGAUGCUUGCUCUUCGUGAGUUUGUCGAUUCGAAUGGGAGGAUAUUUUGGGGUUGGUUCUUUCUUAUCUUUGGCUCGUUUUCGUUCGUGUUCUUCCUCUACGCCGCUGUCGUAUCGAAACUUCUGCCUCCAUCCGAUAAUUCUGUCAUCCAAGCCAUACAAAAUGACUGGUAUUAUUGCUUCUUGGUGCCCUUGACACUUCCGAUCCUCUUUGUUGCCGUUUAUUUUCAUUGGUUGAGCAUGAAAUUGUUCAAGCAUGCAUGAUUUUUACUUCCAACAGAUAUCAUCUGGCAGCUACCGUGACAAAUGAGUGAUAAGUACGGAGAAGAAGACGAAAGAAGAAGUGGGAUCGUCGCUUCUCUGCAUUUCGGCAAUCAAGACACUCGGAAUUGGUAAACUUGAACUAGAAAAAAUAUAAUUGGGAGUCGGAGGAAGAAGAGGAAAAAUAACAGUGAAAUAACAACUACUUCCUACGAAGAGUGGACGUUAGCAUCAACGACAUACGAAAUUCGUUUUGCACAAGUCACGACCAAAGGGUUGGAGUCGACUACUUCAAUCUCUCUAACACGCCCUAAAAUUUGUCCUCGAACAAUCUUUUCUAGUUUGUAGCAGUGUUUAGUGGCUAGGUCCUUAAGAGAUUCGGAGCUGUUAUCUCCGAUUUUCCAGACAACAAGAUCACACUGUCCUCAAUCGAAAGAGUCCUCUGAAUACCUCACCACGAGUUUCCCCAUUUCGCUCCUCGAAAGGCAUAGCAUCGCAGUUUCAGCACUUACAAAAUCGGCAACGAAGAAAUCACUCUCAUCUCCUCUCACGAAUAUCUGAACGGCAUAGCAUCGCAGUUUCAGCAGUUUUAAGUACUUGGAGUCCACGGAGUUGGGAAAUAUGAUCAAAGCAGCUCAAGGAUUGAAAUGGAUGCAAUCGAGUCUUAUGGUACCUAGUAAUUUUAGGUGGUGUUUGCAAAAACUUAUUUAAAAGCAUAAGUUAGUAAUUGUGUGUUAAGUUGAUAUUAAGUGCUUAAUUCUAAAAGUUGGGGAUGUUUGCAAAAAA